AGUGAACGCUGGCGGUAGGCCUAACACAUGCAAGUCGAACGGCAGCACAGUAAGAGCUUGCUCUUACGGGUGGCGAGUGGCGGACGGGUGAGGAAUACAUCGGAAUCUACUUUUUCGUGGGGGAUAACGUAGGGAAACUUACGCUAAUACCGCAUACGACCUACGGGUGAAAGCAGGGGAUCUUCGGACCUUGCGCGAUUGAAUGAGCCGAUGUCGGAUUGGCUAGUUGGCGGGGUAAAGGCCCACCAAGGCGACGAUCCGUAGCUGGUCUGAGAGGAUGAUCAGCCACACUGGAACUGAGCCACGGUCCAGACUCCUACGGGAGGCAGCAGUGGGGAAUAUUGGACAGUGGGCGCAAGCCUGAUCCAGCCAUACCGCGUGGGUGAAGAAGGCCUUCGGGUUGUAAAGCCCUUUUGUUGGGAAAGAAAAGCAGCAGGUUAAUACCCCGCUGUUCUGACGGUACCCAAAGAAUAAGCACCGGCUAACUUCGUG
rnacentral:rRNA from 1 species